AUUCCAGCUCCAAUAGCGUAUAUUAAAGUUGUUGCAGUUAAAAAGCUCGUAGUUGGAUUUCUGGGAGGGUGCCGCCGUCCGGCGUGUCCGUGUGCAGUGGCGCCCUUCCAUCCUUCUGUUAGCGUCUCUUGGCAUUCAUUUGCUGGUGGCGGGCUCAGAUAUUUUACCUUGAGAAAAUUAGAGUGUUUCAGGCAGGCUAGGCCGGAAUACAUUAGCAUGGAAUAAUGGAAUAGGACUACGGUCUCUUUGUUGGUUUGAGGGACUGCAGUAAUGAUUAAUAGGGAUAGUUGGGGGCAUUAGUAUUUAAUUGUCAGAGGUGGAAUUCUCAGAUUUGUUAAAGACUAACUUAUGCGAAAGCAUUUGCCAAGGAUGUUUUCAUCA
rnacentral:rRNA from 1 species